GUGGCUCGCGCCCUUCGCUCUCGCGUCCCUCGGUUUUAGCUGCCGCCGCGGCGGCCGCCGAGCGCGCUCUUUCCGCCCCCUCGCGCGUGAGCGCGCCCUCUCGGCUGCGGGCGCGUCAACAUUCCGCCGCCCAGGCCUUGAGGCGCGUCUGAGGAGGGGGCUGUCUGUGGCCUCUCCGCCCACACUUCCUCCACCCACCGCCCGCAGCGCCCCAGAAGGACCUAUUACUCUUUGAGCUUCUGAAGGCCGAAGCCAGGCUCAGGCGGGGAUAGAACCCUGAAGGGCCUGCGCCAGCUCCAACUUAGGGCCCUGUGCAUCGCUGCGGCUGCCGCUACCGCCCGAUCACGCCGCACCCCCGCCCCAACUCCGCCGGUGUCUCUGAGGAGGCAAUAGGCCUUUCAUCUCCCGGGAAGGUCUCACCUUGGCCCUCAGACACCCGCCGAGAGGGGUUGUAAGGAGAGAAUUAACAUAGAGAAGAGGGGCUAGACCACUUUUCAGGCACUGGCCCCGGGAAUCCUUGACAGGAGGCGUGGGGUUGAUGCCCAGCCUCCCACGCAGUGUAAUAUAUUGAAGCCGGGCCCCUUGGAGGGAAUGCGACUUCCUUGGGCCGAGGGGGAAAGGGUAAAAGUUAAUUUUCAUAAGUUUCUAUGCAAGGGCUAAAUGUGAAAUUAUAAAAUGUCCUUUAAGACAGUCUUCUUGAAAUCGUAUCAAGUUAGACAAGAUUUUUGGUGCACGGUAACGCUUUCCCUCGCUUUCUAUGCUGUCACGUUUCCAUCCUGCAACAGUGAGUACGUAGAUGGAACGUGGAUCAGCUAAUAACUGCAGCAAAAUAAAAACUGCCUUUAUCAUCUUUAUCAGUAUUUAAAUAGACCUCCGAGAAGUCCAACUGUGAUUUAGGAAAACUUAAUCAUUGCCUCAACCUAUUUAACUGUGUUUUGUUUUGAAGUUACUUUGCAGAUACACCCUUUAUUAGGCAAUGGUAGACUUUUAAACUCACUUGUUAGAGGACCUUUUCUAAAAGCAUAUCUAGUUGAGCCUGCGAGGCAAGUAGGACUAAGGUAUAAUUAAUCCCAUUUUACAGAUGAAAACUGAGUCAUCAAAAUGUAAGUCAGUUGUUCAGCGUUGUGAGGAGUCUAUCACUGAUAGAGGGAAAACUCUAAGGUAUAUUAUUGCCUGCUUUAUUCAGUAAACCAGAAAUCUCUCCAUUGUUUUCUUCCAAGUAUCUUUUGCUGCCCCCUUUUAGUAUUGUAGGCAGUGCCUGAUGGCUGAGAAGAAUCGCAGAGGACUAGAAAAGGUUUGAGUGUGAAAUUUUCUGCCACAGAGAAUUAGAGCUCAGAAAUAAGUUAUUGCGAAACAAUUCAACUUCCCUGUUAACGACGACAACAACAACAUCAUGCUUAUUAAUUCCUAGCUGGAGGUGAGAAAAUGAGACUGGCUUAAGGGUGAUGGGUCAUUUCCUUUGAAUUGCUUCUUUAUAUUCACCUCAUCUUUAGGUGGCAGCACUACUAUAUAAAUAUCCUUGGAAGUACAGUCUUCUGCAACUUAAUAUCCUACAGGAUAUUCUGUCCUAAAUGUUUCCAACUGUAUUGUGGAGAUUAAAAGCUGGUGAUUUUAUGAUAUAAAAUCAUAGCUGAGAAUUAGAAAACUUGGAGGUUCUAGAGGAAAAACAGAAAGGCUAUCAGAGACAUUAAUAAAAUACAUAGAGCUACGGAGGGAAAACGUUAGAAAGUUUCAAGAAAAAAGUUUUUUAGGUGUUUGAGGAGCAAGUAGCAUCUCUUUAAACCUUGUCUUUUAUUGAAACAUAGGACAAGAUAAUCUUCCAAAGCAAACCAUCCCUUCUCAGUACUGCAUAUUUAUCAAGCAUUUACAGGUUUGAAGUUACUGUAUAGUUGCCUGUACUCAACUGUAAUUUUAAAAUUCAGAUGCAGUUUUUCCUAAUUAACAGCAUCAAGCUUAUGAAAAUUCCAAGUAAGACUUUAUUGUUGACCCUUGUUGAAGAGAACUCUACUUGGCUUCUUUCCUGGCUUUCCUAAAUUGUUCACAUCCAAGAUAAACUGCCAUCAUUCAGGCUUACAGAAGGGAGAAGACAAGCUGAACCAAAUGUAAAACGGUAGCAAUUUACAGAUGUCAGAACUAACAUGUGGAUGAACUUAGAGAUGGAGAAGAAAGCUGAGUUUUUCCAAAGAGUGGAUGUAUCUGAACUGGAUAGCACUAUUGAAAUUUGUUGCAUAUUUUAUGGUAGCUCUAAAACUCCUUUGCUUGCUUACUUUUAAAUGCAACAUGUUGCUGUACAUAUAUACAACCAGACACCAGUGCCUUCUGAGGCUAAUCCAGGCCAUUUUUAUAACCUAAUGCAGUAGCACUUUGCAAUUAGAUGAAGAAGGUCAGUGGGAUUUCUUUCUGUGGUGAUUAAAAUGUGUCAGGGGAAGAAAUCAAGACAAUACUCCAAGUGAAAAAUGUAAAGUCAGUUAUUUCUUUAAUAUUUUGUGUUAUAGUAAUCAUUUUUAUCUUUUGAGCAUACUUUUUUUGUCUACUUAAAUACUCAAACAAAAUACUCAAAAUUAAUUAUUAAAUGUAAAUGUAACCACAGUGAGAUAUCAUCUCAUCCAAGUUAAAAUGGCUUUUAUCAAAAAGGAAAUAAUGAAUACUGGUGGAAGGAUGUGGAGAAUGGGGAACCCUCAUACACUGUCGGUGGGAAUGUAAAUUAGUACAGCCACUAUGGAAAACUGUAUGGAAGUGCCUCUGAAAACAAAGUAGAACUACCAUAUGAUCCAGCAAUUACAUUAGCGGGUAUAUAUUCAAAAGAAAGGAAAUCAACAUAUCAAAGAGAUAGCUGUACUCCCAUGUUUAAUGAAGUCCUAUUGAAAUAGUCAAAAUAUGGAAUCAACCUAAGUGCCCAUCAGUGGAUGAAUGGUUAAAGAAAAUUGAUUCAUAUGCAAUGGAAUAUUAUUCAGCCAUAAAAAAAAUGAAAUCCUGGCUGGGUGCAGUGGCUCAUGCAUGUAAUCCCAGCACCUACCUCAUGAAGACAGGGAGUAGAUUGGUGGUUACCAGAGGUUGAGAAGGGGAGAGGAGAAGAGGGAUGAAGAGAGGUUGAUUAAUGUAAAUAUACAGUUUGAUAGUGAUAAAUCAGUAGGGUGGCUAUAGUUUAUAACAAUCUAUUGUAUGUUUCAAAAUAGCUAAAAGAGAAUAAUUCAAAUAACAAGACAAAAAUUUAAGAUGAUAGAUAUCCCAAUUACACUGAUUUGAUCUUUACAAAUUAUAUGAAUGUAUUAUUAAGUGUAGCCCCAAACUAUGUACAAGUAUUUUGUAUCAAUAAAAAAUAAAAUUUAAGAUAAAGUAAAUGUAAUGAUUAGCUUAUAUUUCCUAGAUAGGAAAUAUUUACUUAAUAAGUAUGUAUAUGAUGAGUUUUUUUUAUAUUACUAUAAAAAUAGACAUCUUACAUAAA
rnacentral:lncRNA from 1 species